CUCAUUAACUUCAUUAACUUAACCUAUGAUUAGAAGGUUAAGUUUCUUAUACUUUGUUUUCCUGCGGUUGUAGACUUGGCAGUAGAAAAUUGAUAACAUAGGAAUAACACCUUUAUAUCCCUUUUAACAGGUUACACUUGAUUCUGCUGUGGUGCCUGUGGAAACAAAGUGCAUGAAGUUUGUGCUGAGUUCACUGCAGACUGGCACCCGCCAAGGACCCUACAUGGAUGUCUUCUUAAGUUGUAAACCCUGAGUACAUACUGUUGAAAUAAAAUUGAUAUGCCUUUUGUAAA